GCUUAGGGCCAUACCACCCUGAGAACGCCCGAUCUCGUCUGAUCUCGGAAGCUAAGUAGGGUCGGGCCUGGUUAGUACUUGGAUGGGAGACCGCCUGGGAAUACCAGGUGCUGUAAGCU
rnacentral:rRNA from 1 species